UGGGGAAUCUUCCGCAAUGGACGAAAGUCUGACGGAGCAACGCCGCGUGAGUGAAGACGGCCUUCGGGUUGUAAAGCUCUGUGAUCCGGGACGAAAGAGCCUGAGGUGAAUAGCCUAAGGAAGUGACGGUACCGGAAAAGCAAGCCACGGCUAACUACGUGCCAGCAGCCGCGGUAAUACGUAGGUGGCAAGCGUUGUCCGGAAUUAUUGGGCGUAAAGCGCGCGCAGGCGGCUUCCUAAGUCCAUCUUAAAAGUGCGGGGCUUAACCCCGUGAUGGGAUGGAAACUGGGAAGCUGGAGUAUCGGAGAGGAAAGUGGAAUUCCUAGUGUAGCGGUGAAAUGCGUAGAGAUUAGGAAGAACACCGGUGGCGAAGGCGACUUUCUGGACGAAAACUGACGCGGAGGCGCGAAAGCGUGGGGAGCAAACAGG
rnacentral:rRNA from 1 species